GACGAACGCUGGCGGCGUGCCUAACACAUGUAAGUCGUACGGGACCGGGGGCAACUCCGGUUCAGUGGCAGACGGGUGCGUAACACGUGAAGAACCUGUCCAACGGUGGGGGACAGCCGGCCCAACGGCCGGUUAAUACCGCAUACGAUCGUUCGGGGGCAUCCCUGGGCGAUGAAAGCAGCCGCAAGGUUGCGCCGAUGGAGGGCUUCGCGGCCUAUCAGCUAGUUGGCGGGGUAAUGGCCCACCAAGGCGACGACGGGUAGCUGGUCUGAGAGGAUGGCCAGCCACAUUGGGACUGAGACACGGCCCAGACUCCUACGGGAGGCAGCAGUGGGGAAUCUUGCGCAAUGGGCGAAAGCCUGACGCAGCGACGCCGCGUGAGGGAUGACGGCCUGGUGUAAC
rnacentral:rRNA from 1 species